ACCCUGGUUGAUUAAUGGUAACCUCUUGACUAGAAAACUGUCGAGCAGAUUUAUGUGAGAGACCGAGGUUCGAAUCCUCCCCAGGGCA